rnacentral:lncRNA from 1 species
AGCAUUAUUUCCUGAGGUAGAAAAUCGGAGUAAAAUCUCAGAGCUGGACAUUUCAGGACCCAGGAUGGAGGCGAGUUUCUGCGUUUCCUGUGAGACCCAGAAAUCUUGCUGAAUUGCCUUGUUGGGAUGCCGUGGUGGGAUGCCUUGUUGGAUGUGUCCGUGACACAGCGCUUGUCUUCUGCUCCCGCUGCAGAAAUUCUGUACAGGGUGAGCCCUGGGAGAGGAGCCUUACGUGCAGUUCGUCAUUUCCCGAACAGGGCUUAAAAAGCACUUCUACUGUGCCUGGAGGGAGCCUCUUAAAUGCCGCCCAUGGAGGCAGGACUGCGAUGACCAGGCCCAUUUUCUGGAGAGCGAAGGGGAAGGUAUUGCUCAGCCUCAGCAGCCACAGGCCUCCCAGGUUCCUCUGCGCCUUGAUCGUGUCUCCUCCACCCUGCACCCAAGCCUGUGUCAGUGCCCACUGCCUCCAGCCUCAUCAGAAGAAACCACGUCUCGACUCACUGAGCCUCCAGGUCAGGAGACCCAUUUCCUGUGGCCACAGCUUCUGGAGGGCACUUGGCUAUGGGGAGGGGAGCAGUGACGCCCCAGUUUCUCUCUCUCUCUUUCUCUCUCAACUGAUCAAACGACUCCGUAACUACAGUCAACACAGGCCAUGGGUUUGAGCUGAAGGACCCUUUAUCAGGACAGGGCUAGUCAAAGCCCUAGGCAAGCUUCAUUCACAUGAGACCAAGCAAAUCAUAAAUCAUAAUAAUAAUCAUGGCAUCUGUUGAUUGAGUCCUAAUCAUGGUGUGUACUAUGUGAAUUGUUUUAUAUGGGUUAUUUGUUUAAUUUUUGAAACUCCCACCAAGGCGAUAGGUAGAUAGAUCCCUAUCUGUAUUUAUAUCUAUUUGUCUGUCUGUCUAUCUAUCUAUCUAUCUAUCUAUCUAAAAAUGUUUUCAGCUGGGGGCAAUUUUGUCCCCCAGAAAUAUUUGGCCGUAGCAAUCUGGAGGCAUGGUUAUCACAACUUUUCACGUGGAGGACGGUGCUGCUGGCAUCUGAGGCCGGGAAUGCUGCAAAUGCACAGAACAGUCACCACGGGAAAGAAUGAUCUGGUCCAAAAUAUCAAUAUCCUACUGAGAUUGAGAAACCCUGAUCGCCCCACAUGUAAAAUUCGGGUAAAUGGGUGGGUUUCUGUAUGUACUCCUCCCAGCAGCUGUGUGAGAGGGGACCACUCCCUUAUUACCAUCCCCAUCUGACAGUGGACGAAGCUGAGGCUUGUGGUUUGAUUUACUCAACUGACACAUUUAGUAAAUGACAGAGCGGAAACGUAAGCCAGUUCAACAUCCGGGUCUCGAUUCUUAACCAUCAUGUCAUGUUGGUCUUUUUUCUUUUCUUUUCUUUUCUUUUCUUUUUUUUCUUUUCUUUUCUUUUCUUUUCUUUUCUUUUCUUUUCUUUUCUUCUCUUCUCUUCUCUUCUCUUCUCUUCUCUUCUUUUCUUUUCUUUUCCUUUCUUUUCUUUUUUGUAAGGGCCACACCUGUAGCAUAUGGAAGUUCCCAGUCCAGGGGUCCAAUUGGAGCUGCAGCUAUACUAUGGCCGUAGCAGUGCUGGCUCUUUAAUGCAAUGAGCAGGCCCAGGGAUCAAACCUGCAUCCUCAGACAGACAGCAUUGGGUUUUUAAUGCACUGAGCCAAAAAAGGACUUCCUAUAUUGCUCUUUAAGGUUCUAGUUUCGUUGCAGUUUUUUUUCAUCAUAUUGGUCUGAUAAACACUUUUUUUUUUUUUUAAGAAGGCAUGUGGCUGAAGGGGGAGUCCAGCUCUGCUGAGCCAAGCAGAGCUUCUUGCAAGUAAAAUGAAAAUGAUUUUGCAGCAACUGGGUGGGGGGAGGAGAGAUUAUAAACAAAUAAAAUUGUCCAGAUAACU